rnacentral:sRNA from 1 species
GAUUCUGCCCUACGGGGAAGGAUGAGAAGCUUCGACUAAGGUUCGACUCGAGCGCCAGCGAGAGAACGUUGCCGCAGGCAACGGCCCGAAGGGCGAGGCGCUUUAGCGCCGAGUUAUCCUUCCCCCUCUAUUC